rnacentral:rRNA from 1 species
UACAGAGGGUGCAAGCGUUGUUCGGAAUUAUUGGGCGUAAAGCGCGUGUAGGCUGACCGGAAAGUCGGGCGUGAAAGCCCUGGGCUCAACCCAGGAACUGCACUCGAAACUCCCGGUCUAGAGUGGUGGAGAGGGAAGUGGAAUUCCUGGUGUAGAGGUGAAAUGCGUAGAUAUCCGGAGGUACACCAGUGGCGAAGGCGCCUUCCUGGCCUAAGACUGACGCUGAGGUGCGAAAGCGUGGGGAGCAAACAGG